AUCAUCAUCAUCGAAGAAGAAGACAAGCUCAUCGAGCGUUGUUAUCGCAGGGAAGUUGCUGAAUCCUCAUCGCGAGUCCGCCUUUUUGCGAGAGCUUCUCAUGCUUUACCUACUUAGGAAACACACUCCGACCGCUCGCUCUAACAAGAAGUACACCACCGAGGAUAUCUAUUUUUUAUAUCUCAAUCUCAAUUUCAACACGAAUCGUGAUCUCCCUGAAUCUGAUUGCUCGACGGCUUUCCUAGCUGUAGACACCCUAUUGGAGGAACUGUUGGAGUGAAGAGCAUUCCAAAAGACUGCCAACAGAAGGGAUCGUACAUGUGAUAGUUUUCUUGCUGAGGUUUUAGCUCUAUAUCAGUUAACGUCACGUCAACACACGGCAUGUGGUCGCUGCAAGCAAGGUGAACUGGUUUUACAGUGUAGGUCCCUUUUAUCCUUUCGAAUGUGAUCCCCGAUAGAGCCACUGCAGACGUUUGGUUCUUGCAUUGGCUUUUAUCACAGUAGUAUUGGUCAAUUAUGAUAGGGAAUUCAACUUCCGAUACUUGAAUAUUCGAGAAAAGUACUCCACUCACAGAUCCCGAUCCUCCCUGUGUAUCAAUCAAUGCAUAUCAAUCAAUCAAUCAAUAGGUUCAUAAUUCGUAAUAGCUCAUCUUUUGAACAUGUUUUUAUUUUUACCUGCCAUGUUUUUAUUCUCGCACCAUUCAUUGUGUUUUUCAUGAUAACAUCUCUCACUGUAAUGUUUGAGACACAGGCUUUUGUCGCAUCCCUUCCUAGGCUUCCGAUACUAAUUCCGUGUCCUGGUCCACAGUUCACAUUGUGUAUGUACACAUUUGUGCACCCCGUUUGGAUGGAAAUACAAUCAUCCCCUGUAGAAAGUAAACCACAGUUUAUAUUUUCUUUUCUUUUUUGUUAGUUAAUAAUAUUGAUUCAUUUGAGCAAAUUACCGCAUGCUAGGUUGGAGCUUCUGAUUAACACGUCUCGUGAAUUCUGUAAGUGAAUUCCAUCUGUGUUGGGACUAUCGCCUGGUGAUGAAAUGGUCAAAUCGUGUACGGAAACUCCCAUACAAUUGUCAAACUUAAGGUGACAUUGUGGACUGUUUUGAAUGGUUAUGCCCAUGACUGUCACGUUGAAACUCCCAUAGAAUCUGAGUGCCUGUAGAGUAGAAAUGCAAUUUUAACGAAAAAAUGUUUCACUUUCCAAAAUAAAAUUUUAGAUCUAUAUAUGAAAUGUUCCUUACAGUUGGCUUAAUUCUAGGCAUUUUUUCUUCGUAUGAACUGUUCAUCUGUCAAACACAUAAGUUAGUUGUAGGAAAUAUUAUGAUGCUGGGGAAUAUCAAUAAUCUGAAAUUGGAGGGCAAAUAUUUACCGGCAAUGUGAAAUUUCCUUCUAGGGUUAUGUUCAAUGGGAUAACUAGUUCAGCUUCAUCAUCUACAGGAUCAUUGUAGGGAAAGCCUUCCCACCAGACCGAACCUCUUCCAUCGAUGGUGCCUUGUCCUUGGAUUGUGAUUCCUACUAGCUUGGUGAACUCGAGCCAUUGCAAUAGACCAGAGCCCCAUGCUUCAGAGUCUGUUGGAGCCAUAAUUGUGCCAUCAAGCUGCCAGGACACAAAGACAAUUGAGCUCUGUAAGUGCCUAGCUAUAUUACCUUUGUUUGAUCACACUGAGAUGUGAAAUGGGUAUAGUUUUGUUGUCAUUGGAAAUUUUAGCUGAGAUUAUGAUGACUUUUACGGUUUUACCUGAAAGAUUAUAUCUUGUUGGCAGUAGGGACCAGCGAAUGAGAUUGGUCCAACAAGAAACUCGUACUCUGAUGGAACAACAAUUGUUGAUCCCUCAACCUUACAAGCAGCUGCCCAUGCUGCCUGAAAUGCCUGUUUUGAGCCACGACAUGGAUGUGCGACUGCAUCUUCUUGCUUUGGGAGUUUUAAAUCAGUAAGCAGUUAUAUGACUUGCAUUCACAAUGAUAUGGCUUGUAAAAGAAAACGAAAGACUUACCUCAGUGUCAUCGUUAGUCCCAUCUCCUUUGGCACCAAAAUCUAGCACAUUGAAGACAGUUGAAGGGACCUUGUCUGGAACUUCAACUGGCGGGGAAGGGUGAAUGUUGGGCUUUGGACUGGGUACAGAUGAAGAUGGUGGGUUUGUUAUAGAAGGAGGUUUUGUGUUUGGCUUAUGGCUGCCAUGGCUUUUCUGGUGAGUGCUUCCAUGGCUCUUUCCUUUCUUCUUGUAUAACGUGGCUGUAUCAUCUCUGUUUUUUUGUCCCCAUUGUUUCCCCGUUCUUGCAUUGCAACUGCCCAUAUUAGAUGAUGACCAAACAAGGCAGGAUAUGAUAAUCAUAAAUGUGAACCUUCUUGAACUGAAUGUCUCCAUUCUCAGUGUAAUGUUGAGGAUGGGAAGUCAGGGGAGGAUAGAUAGAUAUAUAGAGAGAGAGACAAGUUUUGAUGAUGCAUAAGCUAGAGAAUUCAUGAUGGUUUGGUUUAAAUAGCAACUAAAAAGCUUACAGAGGUUAUACAAGAGCCAUAUAAAAUAUAAUUUGUUAAUAUGCUAUUCAUUUAUGUUUCAUUCUCUCUUUUUUUUUUUAUAUAUAUAUAUAUAUAUUUGAAUAACUUCAUAGGGUAACAGUUUAAAAUUAAUGUAGCUGGUCCCCAUUUCUUCACAUGGAAGCCUUUAGCUGCUGCUUUUGAAUCAUCCAGUUGAUCAUGUUUAAAUGUCAUCCAUGAGUUUAACAUGCCAUGAGUUUUUAUGAGCUUCA